rnacentral:rRNA from 1 species
UACAGAGGUCCCAAGCGUUGUUCGGAUUCACUGGGCGUAAAGGGUGCGUAGGCGGUCAGGUAAGUCUGAUGUGAAAUCUCUGGGCUUAACCCAGAAAUGGCAUUGGAUACUACUUGGCUUGAGAGUUGGAGGGGGGACUGGAAUUCUUGGUGUAGCAGUGAAAUGCGUAGAUAUCAAGAGGAACACCAGUGGCGAAGGCGAGUCCCUGGACAACUUCUGACGCUGAGGCACGAAAGCUAGGGGAGCAAACAGG